rnacentral:tRNA from 1 species
GGCCGCAUGGCCUAAUGGUUAAGGCGUCUGACUUCGAAUCAGGAGACUGCAGGUUCAAGUCCUGCUGUGGUCG